rnacentral:lncRNA from 1 species
CUAAGGCGAAACGAUUCAACUCCUCAGCCAUCAGACAUCGUGGAGAAGUAGCGAGGGACCAUCUAGUUCCUGUUACGAGGAAAGAUUUCAACGGGUGUGUUCGGUCCAGCUGCUGUCUCGCCGUGAGUUCCAGCUUUCGGUCUCUCUUGGCAAGGACAUCGAAAACCAGUGACGUUUAGCUUAAAGUAAUCUGUUAACAUAAAAUAAUCCCAUCUGCAACGACAGCGCUGUACUGACGGGAAGGGUGGGGUGUGACCGGCGGCAAAAGAACUUGUCUGUAUGGAUACUUUUGUUCGUUCCGUGGGUUGUGUGAACCGGAAGCACCUGACGCGCACGGGUCCGAACAUCAGAAAGGAUGGCUUUGAGAGCGAAGGCACGAGUGCUGUUCGGCAAGAUUAUUCCAGCAAACGUGUUCUCCAGUAUGCGUCCGGUUUAGCCCUCAGGUUUGUAUUCCAAAAGCUGGCAAAAGCUCGUCACACGGAUAAAGGCGAGCUGGCGAGUGCAGUGUAUGCAACUGUCUUCAUGGUUUCUUGAUGCGCAUUUGAUGUCUUGUUUCCUUCCCUCUUUCCCUGUAUGUUGGACCGUCUGGAGGUGGAGCUAAUUAUAGGCGUUGUCACACGCUGACUCGAAAAUACGUGUGUUCUGAAGGUAAGCAGACAGAUCUUGAGAUGGAAAGCGUAGAUUUCUAACGGUCAGCGGCAGUGGAACAUCUGGCUUAGUCAAAGUUAGUCAACCGGAAGAGCGUCCACAUGCGUAUGUCCCAGGCGGCAAAAUUACGGAAGCAAUGGCUACGGAUAGAACAGGACUUUAUAGGGCAGCGACCCCGCCG